rnacentral:lncRNA from 1 species
AAGGAGCUGCUUUGAGAAACAAAUGCCACAAGGGGCUCACUGCUAUCAAGACAGUUCACAGAUAAGGUUGUUCCAAGAUUUCAUGAACCUCUCAAGAAAAUUUUGGAAUAUUUAAAAUCAUACAAAAGG